rnacentral:rRNA from 1 species
CCUACGGGUGGCAGCAGUGGGGAAUAUUGGGCAAUGGGCGCAAGCCUGACCCAGCAACGCCGCGUGAAGGAAGAAGGCUUUCGGGUUGUAAACUUCUUUUCUGAGGGACGAAGAAAGUGACGGUACCUCAGGUAUAAGCCACGGCUAACUACGUGCCAGCAGCCGCGGCAAUACGUAGGUGGCAAGCGUUAUCCGGAUUUAUUGGGUGUAAAGGGCGUGUAGGCGGGAAAGCAAGUCAGAUGUGAAAACUCAGGGCUCAACCCUGAGCCUGCAUUUGAAACUGUUUUUCUUGAGUGCUGGUGAGGCAGUCGGAAUUCGGUGUGUAGCGGUGAAAUGCGUAGAUAUACGGAAGAACACCAGUGGCGAAGGCAGAUUGCUAGACAGUAACUGACGCUGAGGCGCGAAAGCGUGGGGAGCAAACAGGAUUAGAUACCCUAGUAGUC